UUCAGGUUUAGCUGCAUACCGCCCCACAGCACACCAAUGGUCUCAACCUGACAAAUUCAGCAAGACCACAUCAUCAUCAUCAACAUCUCAUCAUCGAGGGGCAGGAGAUGUGAUUCUAAGGCCACAAACUGGACCCUCUACACUCCUCUGCUGUGCCUUAAAAUCACAAACAGAAUUGGUGACAAGGCAGCCUUGGCAGGACCCGGUAGCCACUGAGACUGUACUCGACCUACUGCUGAGGACACAGCUUUCUCUCCAGUUACACAAGGACCAGAUGGCUUGGAGUGCAGCCCGAGAACUUCAUGCUUCCUCAUCCUCAAAAUCUAUCCAUGUGCUGGAAGGGGUUGAAUUGCAGUAUCGUGUAAGAGUGAGAAUGGUGCAUAUUAUCCCAGUUAGCCAGAAAGCCAAAUAUAAAGGAAACGUCUACCUACAAUAUUCCAAAAAGACCGAGAUAAUGUCUCGCAAGCUCUCGACAUCAACAGAAUGCAGCAUUCUCAUCCUCUUUCCUGACCUUGGAAUCUCCAGUCAGAGGCUACAAGAGGACUACAGUCAUCCCCUCUCUGCUUCUGCUUGUUCCCAAAGCUCUGUCUGGUACCAGCGCUUCCUAAACUUUUUAUGCAGCCAGCUCUUUUAGGAGGACAUCAUUUUACCCUCACCAUGUGGACACCAGGAACAAAACAUGGUUUUCUUUUGAAGAUAAGCUGCCAAAGGGCUGGUUCUGCGCUGCCAAACCACCUCUGAUCACCAGGUCAUCGUGGAGAGCCAAAUAGAGAAGAAAACCAAAGCUGUGUUUGUGCCGGCAGGUGGGAAGCACCUGCUGGGCUUCCUGGACGACCUUAAAAUGCCGAACUGAUCUGUUGGGUUUGAGUCAUCCCUAAACUAAACAACGCAGUGACCAGGCUGAAUCCACCAAUGCUUCAGGUCUCCAAAGAGCAGUAGUGACGGUGCCUGAUCUACCAACUCUAGCCUCAUCCAAAAAUGGAAGAUGUGGAGCGAGUGGGCCUGAGGCGACCAGGAUCUGUUGCAUUUUUAACAGGUCAUUUCCAGCCAGAAGAAACCUAUUAUUCAAAUAGAAAUUCCCUGGAAAUCAAAAUUUGGCAUGGGUUUCAAUGAUUCACUUUCUUCUUGAUUGUAAGUAAAGGGCUGGUCCAGCCAAGUGUCGAUACCUCACUGUUUAUUGUCAGUUCAGAUGUUGUGCAGACAUUGCUUUUAUAAUUCUUUUGAUUCCUUAUCUUAAGAGCUAAUCUUGAAAUGGUGACAUUUGUACAACAAGACUUACAAGUGCAGAAGCACCACUUAUCCCUGUAUACUAAUAUUCUUAACAUCAUGCACUUGACUGACUCAUUAGGCCUCUCAUUAAGCCAGUAAUGCCAGCACCUACUUAAGAAAACACACAUGGUGACGCUCAAAAGAAGCAGUAGAAUAGAAUUGCAACAUCCAAGGUUUAGUUCCAGUUCGGGACCUUUGUUGGAUGUUGAAACCAUCUCUUGCUCUCCAUCUUUCUUAUCUCAAGCUUGUUGUAGAAAAAUUGCUCUGACUCUUAUGACCUUAAAAACACAAGAAGCUCUUUGCUGCUUGAUGGUAAAUUUUGAUCCACUGCAGUAGGCAGAAAGGCAGAAUUUCUGCAGCAUUUCUCACAGAGAAGCACAAGUGUGACCGUCUAUUUAUAGUGUGACAGUGGACACAAAACUGUUUUCCACUGGCUUGCUUUGAAUGGUGUGACAGGUUUGACCUAUAGAAUUUUGCUUGACCAUACCAGAAACUCGACGUCUACAUUCUAUACGCUCACAAAGAGGCUUCUUCAGACUGCACCUCAUUCCUCAUAAAAGCCUGAGGUCUCUAUUUUGAACCUACUUAUGUAACACACAAACACGACACAUUGCAGUGGUCAGCUUUAACCAGAGAAGACGUGGGCACUUUGUUCCUCUGAAAAUGACUAAAAGUACAAGUAACUGAUUAUGAAUGGAUGAUUCACAUAUAAAUAAAUGAUAACAUGAGUCUUCAGCUAGGUUUGUUUUCACAGACUAAACUGUCACUAUCUAAUAAAGGCAAAGUGCCAAAAAAAAAAAAUAAUAAAAAGAAGAAAACUGGACCGAAGAAGGAGUGUUUAUCUUGUUUGUAAUUGCUGUUGCCACUGUGUCCUUGUGUGCUCGUCGCAGCUAAUUGGUAUUUCCGCUGGUAAGAUCGAGGAAUGAAGUGUGUUUAAAUGAAAGAGAUGAUAUUGUUUAGUUAAAAGUAAGAGUUUUAGUUUUUAACUCAAUCAUCUGGAUUGUUUAUCAGACCUCAUUUCAUGACGCAGAGCUCUAUACGAAGGCUUGCCUCACUUGUAUGGAAGAACGGUUUCUUUUUUCUCCAGUUGGAAAUACUGAUUGUUUCAAGGUAAGUUUGACAUUUAAGUGAGAUUUAAAUGUAGGUAUUGUGAUUAUGUAACUAUUCAUGAAGGUUUUAAUGUUCCCACAAGGAGAUGCUUGAGAUGUCGUUAUGUGGCGAAACUAUGUUGCAGGAGGCUUUUUAUCAGAUUUGUCCCACAUGCCACUGUUUCUAAUUUGAGUUUCUCUUGGUGGGCUUUGAUGCAGAGAUGCUGAGACGCAUCAGUGCAGUUUUCUGCAUUUUCUGCCAUAAUUUAGUUAAACAUGAAUAAAACAAUGCCAAAAUGUAUUAUCAGCUUACCACAAGCCCUGUUUUUCUCCUCCCGGGUCAGUGCUUGUUCCUUGCCAAAUGCCACCUCUUUCUUUCAUGGAUGCCUGAGCUGGGCAAGUUUAAACUUCAGAUUCAAGCUUUACCUCUGCUUCCCAACUGAAAUAUGCCAUUACCAUCUUGAGCCACAAAUUUUAAACCAAUCUGGACAUAUGAGAAUAUGUACAAAAUAUAAGUCUGUCUAUAGUGUGACCUUUAGUGAGAGAAAACCAACAUGACCCUUCUUCCAAUGGCUUUUUUUUCCAUCUGUCUGGCUGGAACACUGUGUUCAGUGAUUCUGACUUUCAUAUCAGAGCCUCAUUUGUUGCUGAAUGAAACCACGACAGUUAUUGGCAUAUCCGCCAUCAGAUGGACUGCCAUCCAUCCAGCGGUUAGGCUGCUGGUGAAAACUACUGAAUGAUACAGUGAAUUUGUGGUUUCAGUGAUGACAGUGAUGACUGAAUGGAAUUUAUGCAUGGCUGAUGUUUCCCUUGUCAGUAAUCUGCACUAAACCACAAAUAUAGGCUCAACUCGAGCAGAAAGGCCAUUUCAUACCCUGUCAGAGUAAAGGCCAAUUAGACUAAUGGAUAAUGACAAUCUGGUUCAAAUGUAUGAGAUUGAAGCCUACUUAUGGCCUUUGUUGAAAUGUCUUUCUCUCCAAUUCCAUCUUUACUCUGUCUGCUCUGCGUUUCACUUGCCCUUGGUAUGUUGCCUUGCAUUUCAAAGCCAGUCUGUUAAGAUCUUCGGCUUGAUGCCUCCCUAGGUGAGCCGGAGUCUGCUCAGUCGGUACCUGGAUGAAUAUGAGGAGAUUCCCUGGGAUGCACUGAAAUACAUCAUUGCUGCAGUCAUGUCACAGCUGACUGGGACAGACGUCUUUUCGCCACCUACAUCAGCGACUACUUCUGUGACGCUGCCGUAGACCAGCCUUUAUUCAAGUGAGAACCUGUGACACACACAUUUAUCUGUCAUAGUUUAUUGUAUAUGGGGAAAAUGUGAGCUGUAUAUUUAUGUGAUGCUAUAAGACCCUUUUCAAUACGGCAAAUGAGAGCGCAAAGGUAAAAAAAAAAAAAAAAAAAAAAAAAAAAAAUCACGAAUUGCACCUUCAAGCGCUCACUCUGCAACACUGUAAACACUCUGGACAAAUGUAAAGGUACACUUCUUUACUUGAAACAAAUAAAGUAUAUAUCUGGGUCCAAAUGUAAACAACCCACUCAUGUAAAAACACCUUUUUUUCUGAGGAAGCGCACUGCGGCUGCACUUAGCUGACAGAGGACAUCCAACUCCCUGCUGAAGCCUCCUCAUGGUCGCAGAGUGUCAGCACCACCAAGUGGACAAUCUCAUACUUGCAGCCUGCAAAAUAUAGACACAGUGACGCCCUGAUAAACACUGACAGGAACGCUUAGUCCUAGCUUUUUCUUAUUUAAUCACUUACAAGAAAACACCCAGGCACUCCUGUCCACUCGCUUCAUUUGUAAAAAUUCAGUGUGAAAAUCUGGGCUUUAGUGAUUGAUUAACAGGUAAUAAAGAUUGGUAAUAUCAAAAUGGAAUAUUACGGAUAUAUGUCUUUAGGUAAGUCUGAAACUUGACGUGUUUGAAAGUUGUCCUUGGAGCGAGGUGUUUGCUGCACAUGCUGUCUAGUGAGGUCAAAUCUAAAGAUUGAUGGAUCUUUAGAAUCUUUACUUCACCUGACAGCACUGAUUGAUGGAAUACUCAAAGGUCAGUGAAAGGUAUAGUCCCAGGAUUCUGGAAACAGAUUUAUCAUAUUUAAAUAUUUGGCAUAUUUACAAAGUUAACAUUCCGACUGGAAAAUGUAUCAUGAUAGAAAUGUUGCAUUUCAGUUGAUUUCGAUAGCUAUUGUUUUACUGUAACGACCUAUUUUUAAUGAAGACAGGAGGAAAAAGGCUGCGGCAUUGUUCCAAAUGUUUUUACUUUAAGCACAUACCACGGCUACCCUGACAAAAUACUAGUUUCAUGCAGUGUACAUACUGCAAGUACACAUACUACUUUGUCAUAAUAAUGCACCUUCUCCAUCAGCUGUUGUAGUCUGUAAUGUGAAAUUAGCUGUCACCUGUAUGCGUGGCUCCAACUGAUUUAUGCGAAGACAAUGUGACGUAGUUGUGCAAAAAUGUAGGGAUCUAAUUGGCCUAAAAAAUCUGGCUGAUCUGAAUUCUCCAAAAUCCAACCAGAUAGGCAUGCAGAUGUAUUUGGCAGAGGGCAUUUGAGACACCGUACUGGGACAUGCAAAACAUUCUCACUUUGACUCAUGAAAUUUUUCAAAAGCAAGUAAAACGGUGUUGAUGAAAGCCACAGAUGGUCACAGACUAGCGCUCCUUUGGAGACCUGCACAGAUUCAGAUGGGUAGAGUGACGAAUAGUGAAGAGGCUCAGUUAUCAAGGGAUAUGAUUGACUGGUUAUGGGCCACAGUGGAAGCACAUUUGAGGUUUGUACAUGCAAAAGAACGUUGCAUUUUCAUUAUGUGUUUUGAUGGUAGUUUGAAUGUAAUGCAUUUUAGUUAAGCUAUGAAACAUUCUGUCAAACCAUUAUCAUAUUGCUAUUGAUUAAUUGUCUAUCACGAUACAUACUGCAAUGAGUUGCGUCUACAGCUGCCUUUGUGCCUAAAACUGUGUGGUGAGGCUCGGACACACCCACUUUGCUUGUUUUUAUUUACAAAGCCAAGGAUGUGCAUGAACACCAGAUUUUUUUUUCCAGCGCAUGCACACACAACAGACAGCUACUAGUCCAUGAGGAGAUACUCACUGAAUUUGACAAAAAGCUGUAUUGGAUUAUACUCGCCGACUUCACCCUUAAUUGAAAUAAAAGCAACAACGCUAACGAGAACUGCCAACUCCCUUUGUUCUGUAAACAUUAAUGAAUCACUGUGCAACUCCAGCGCAUCCAGAUUAAACAUAGUGACGGCCAACUUUCCACUGUAAGUGAGGGUUAAGAUGACAGAUGGCCAACUGAAACUGUGUGUUUGUGUAUGUGUUAGCUCAUCCCUCGUGGAGCUGGAGAAAAUGAUCAAAAGGCUCAGCGGUGAUGUCAUCCAGUUUGGAGGAGUCCUUUCACUGCAUCUGUGACACUCAUGUAUCACCACUGUGCCAAACUCUCACUGAACACACUCACACCCACACAGAACUUGGACGUGUUCCUCCAACAUCAUCUCCUAAACGAAGAUAUUUCAAUCCUGUGACUGCUUUUUCAUCAUAAAUCAUUCUUUUCUAAGUCCCAAUGCAUAAUUCUUACUUCCUUACAUCUCUGAGCUGCUCCUUUACUUUACAUCUAUCUUAUUCUCACUUCAUCAAGGUAGCAGAUAUAGAGAAGAAUGAAGAAGUGCUUGAAUCAAUAAUAUUGAAACCACUGCUCUUUGGAGAAUGAGUUUUCAAUAAAACAGUCCAAAAAAGCCAUCGCUGAGUCAGGAUUAAAACUAGAAAGGAAGGAUUCUUUUAAAGAGGUAGAUAAGUAUUAGAAGUUUUACUUACAAAUACAGCUUUCUCUUUUCUUGUGAUUGUUUUCAACACACUACCCACCUGAUAUUAACAAAUAUGUGUCUUUGUUUAUCCAGUAUGUUAUUCAUAAAUAUGCAGGACUCUGUGUAUAUUGAUCUUUGUGACUCUGUCCUCCUCCCUGCAGCCAGACAAACGGCUGCCUGUCUUUGUACUGAACCACUGGUCUGUUAUUAAAGGUGUAUUUAUCCAUCA